GACAACCCUAUUAUUAUAUUUUUGGUACUGGCAAAGGAGAUCUAAUGACGAGUUAUUUUGUUUGAUUUUAUUUGUUUGGGUCGUUCGUUACGGACCGCACGCGCCCGAUGAUUGCUCAAUGCGACCCGUGUGGAUGCCCGCGCGUGUGUGUGCGUGUGCCACAUCUCGUAGAUGUGGAGAGAGAGAGAGAGCUCCGAUUUGCAUUGACACAAACAAAAUAAACGUAACGCAUUAAGUCGAUAAUACGA